GCUUAUUUAGUUUAUAAAAAAUAUGGUUUUUGUAAUACCAAGAUAAUUAUUCUGUAGUAAUAAGCU
rnacentral:tRNA from 1 species